AUCGUCAGCGUGCUCGGGCACAAGCACAAGUUCGCAUUACUGCUGGAGGUAUGUUACGCGCAUGUUGAACGGCCAUAUUGGUCAUGGCGAUUGCGAAACGAGUGCGAAGAGUCGCGGACGCGAAUUUUAAUUGUUGAAAAUCGGCUCGUUUUAAUUCACGCCAAAUUUACGAACAAAGUUUCGAAUUAUUAUUGCAUCGUAUUUAUCUGUAUUCACGUUCGCGUGUUAUCGCGCAGUUUUGCUAGAAAUCAAUAUUUUGGCGUAAAUUGAGAAGUUUGAAAAUUACACAAGCAAUCGCAUAGUUCAAGAAUGAGCCCGAUGAACAAAUUUGAUUGUGAUAUUUCUUCCGAUGAUUCAUCCGUAAAGCGGGAAAAAUCGGCCCAAAAUUCCAAAGAUUGGUUAUAUAAAUUGGCGAAACGGUACAACUUGGAAACAUUUUGUUAUGAUGAUAAUAGUUAAUAACAACAAUAUAAUAUAUUAUAACAACACAAUAUAUUAUAAAAUGUUAUUAAUUA